rnacentral:lncRNA from 1 species
GAGGUCGAGGUGAGGUUGGAUGCGUGCAGAGAGCGCGGGCAUCCAUGGGCCGAAGUAGGAUGCACGGAUGCAUCCUCUCCUUUCUCCUCCUCUCCCACCACCUUUUCUCUGUCUAUUUCUUUCUCUUUUCCUUUUGUCUUGUUGUGUUGCCCAUGGCCCAUAAGAAGAUGGGACAAGAGGAGAAGAGGCAUUAAUGCCUCUCGUCAGGUUCAAAUGGCCCAGAGCUAUCCUUAUGGCAUAUGUAUAGUGGAUGAUGUACGGUCAAAAAUUAAUGAUGUACACAGGAUAGCAUGGUCGAUGAAGACCUAUGCACUAAUAGUGGGCUGGUCAGAUCGAUGGCACAUUGAGCCUUUGAUCUCUUCUUAUUUUUGAGAGUCCAAUGAUCAACCAGGAGGGAUCGAUCGAUGAAAAAUUUUCUUGGAGCCACUCGCUUUGGUUGUGGUGCACUGAUAAAGCUAGGAUCGAGAGUAGGUCGGCAGCCGAUGCAGGGGCCAAGGCCACCAUGGGGCUUAUAAGCUGAGGUGGGAAUCAAACGAAUAUGAGGAGAUCGAGCAACCACAGGGAAAAAUCGGACAUCCCAAAAUAUUUUGAUAUAGUCACUGGCGUGAUAUAUGAUUAAGAGUAAGGAUUGGUCAAAGAUCCUUGGAGAAGAUAUCUGAGUUGAAGUUUUCUUUGGAUCGUCAUCUAAUAUCUAGGUGUCACCUCUGGGCCAACAGAUAAGGACUUGAUCGAGGUAAACAUCAGCCGUC